CUCUUAGAGAACUGAUUUGGGGAAUGUAGACUGAAAACUUGUUGUUGGUUAGUAGAACAAGGUUAUAUUCUGAAGUUACAGUAUAUUUAUUCAUGCCCAAUGACUCUGUUGUAGGUUUCCCGAUUCCCCAGUUGAAGUUAGAGAGUUUACUUCAAUAUGGGGUUUGCCAGUUCCAAUCCUUAGUUUUGUUUAAGUCACCUUCGUUGUAGUUGAUUAUAAUAAUCUACUUGAAGAGCAUUGCGAGUAAACUAUAUGAAUUACACUUAAUGAAUUCACAUUAAUAUGGUUAGAUGCAUAAUCUUGUUACCUUUCUAGUAUUGCUUUCUAACACUGUCAUCUGAUGCAGGGAAUCCCUUAAUAUCAUUGAGUGUUUUGAUCUCGAUAGCAAUGGGGAGCAUGAACUUUUAGGGUAAACAAAAUUAAGGCUUUCAGAUGCUUAAUUGUUUAUACUGCUCAGUGGUUGAGCCGGUAACUGUACUUUCCUUUCCUUUGAAUUGUCACGAAACUUCAGAAAUCAGUAGCGGACCUGGAAUAACGCCACAAAAAAUCUGGAGUACAUUCUGAUCGAAAAAAAUCACACAAAG
rnacentral:lncRNA from 1 species